rnacentral:rRNA from 1 species
UGACGAGCGGCGGACGGGUGAGUAAUGUCUGGGAAACUGCCUGAUGGAGGGGGAUAACUACUGGAAACGGUAGCUAAUACCGCAUAACGUCGCAAGACCAAAGAGGGGGACCUUCGGGCCUCUUGCCAUCAGAUGUGCCCAGAUGGGAUUAGCUAGUAGGUGGGGUAAUGGCUCACCUAGGCGACGAUCCCUAGCUGGUCUGAGAGGAUGACCAGCCACACUGGAACUGAGACACGGUCCAGACUCCUACGGGAGGCAGCAGUGGGGAAUAUUGCACAAUGGGCGCAAGCCUGAUGCAGCCAUGCCGCGUGUGUGAAGAAGGCCUUCGGGUUGUAAAGCACUUUCAGCGAGGAGGAAGGUGGUGAACUUAAUACGCUCAUCAAUUGACGUUACUCGCAAAAAAACCACCGGCUAACUCCGUGCCAGCAGCCGCGGUAAUACGGAGGGUGCAACCGUUAAUCGAAAUUACUGGGCGUAAAGCCCACGCAGGGGGUUUUGUUAACUCCAAAUGUAAAAUCCCCCGGCUCAACCGGGGAACUGC